GCAGCAAAUGCUUCAACCAUCAUAUCACCAUGACAACCAUUCUUUGCAUCACCAACAGAGAAUGUGAAGGCGUAGACCUUCUUAGGGACCGUCCUAAUGAUUUGCGCGAGGGCACUUUCUCUCCCUGCAAGAAGUUCCACUGCAGCUUGGCCAAACGGGACAUUGAAAUGAGCUGAAUCCAAGAAUUUCACUGCUUUGAGUGACUCAAUGAUCCAUCCUGGAAGUGGGGAUGUCAAAUCUUCCUGCUUGGGAGGGAGGAGAACUCCAUGUGAAGAGUUUAUCAAGAGGUGAGGUCCUUCUUCAAAACCAGCAUUUUUAACCAAGUUCACUCUUGUAGGGCGAGGU
rnacentral:misc_RNA from 1 species